UUUUUAAUUUUGGAUACAAGA
ensembl:piRNA 21ur-13805 ncRNA